rfam:Ricinus communis cultivar Hale ctg_1100012355601, whole genome shotgun sequence.
AAACUAUGAUGUGGAAAACUCCUCAGUAAAUCCUUGAACCAUUCCCAAUAAUCAUAUAAAGUUUCAUUCUCUUACUGAAGUAACCAUGUUAUGUCAUUCCUCAACUU